rnacentral:rRNA from 1 species
CCUACGGGGGGCAGCAGUGGGGAAUAUUGCGCAAUGGGCGAAAGCCUGACGCAGCGACGCCGCGUGAGGGAUGAAGGUCUUCGGAUCGUAAACCUCUGUUAGCAGGGAAGAACGGUCACUGUGCUAAUCAGCAGUGAAUUGACGGUACCUGCAAAGGAAGCACCGGCUAACUCCGGGCCAGCGGCCGCGGUAAUACGGAGGGUGCGGGCGUUAAUCGGAAUUACUGGGCGUAAAGGGCUCGUAGGCGGUAUGUCAAGUCAAGGGUGAAAUCCCCGGGCUCAACGUGGGAACUGCCUUUGAAACUGGCAGACUGGAGUGUGUGAGAGGAUAGUGGAAUUCCAGGUGUAGGAGUGAAAUCCGUAGAUAUCUGGAGGAACAUCAGUGGCGAAGGCGACUAUCUGGCACAUAACUGACGCUGAGGAGCGAAAGCGUGGGUAGCAAACAGGAUUAGAUACCCGUGUAGUC